GUAAACGAAGCAAAGUACUCAGCUGAAUUAGUUGUGUCUUCAUACCCUGCAUCUGUUCUUCAAAAUUCUGAUGCAUUUGAUCCAUAUAUGAGACAAAGCACCAAAAGGCAUCAACUUCAUUCUCCAUAACAUACAAGACAGGUGAAAGCAAGUCGCUCAUUCCCUGGACAUAACCUAAAUCAAAGUCAUACAUGCAAUAGGUCAUCAAAAUAUCAUGAAGUAAAAUCAAUCCUGGAUUAUCUUCACCUUCAUAGAACUUAUUUGUUCUAUCUGUUCUGUUUACAUCUUUCUCUAUGAGACUCCUGUAGUCUCUUAAUCUUGAAUUUCGUUUUUCCUGCUCCUCACUGACAGACUUCCACUGCAGUUUCAUCCUGAAAUAUUCAUCCGUUUUCCUUUUUUGCAAGUUUGCUCUCUCUUCUUUAGUGCUAUUCCAAGGAAAAUAUCCCAAAAGAAAUUUCCAUGCCUCUUUUCUUAGAGUAUGGCAGAGUCCCCCUUUGAAUAUUGAUUGCUUUAUGUAGUCUACAUUUAAAAUUCUUCCUUCAGAAUCCAUAUUUUUAGUCCAUUCUUCAAUUGACACAGGCUCUCUUCUACUAACUUCAGGCUGUUCUCCUAGGUCGAUUCGUGUAAUGACUUCAAAUCCUGGUUCCUCCUGCUGAUUUAUCUUUAACCCUGGAAUAGCAUCAUUGAG
rnacentral:lncRNA from 1 species